ACGUACAAGCAGUGGGAGCCCGAAAGGGUGACUGCGUACCUUUUGUAUAAUGGGUCAGCGACUUAUAUUUUGUAGCGAGGUUAACUGAAUAAGGGAGCCGAAGGGAAACCGAGUCUUAACUGGGCGGCUAGUUGCAAGGUAUAGACCCGAAACCUGGUGAUCUAGCCAUGGGCAGGUUGAAGGUUGGGUAACACUAACUGGAGGACCGAACCGACUAAUGUUGAAAAAUUAGCGGAUGACUUGUGGCUGGGGGUGAAAGGCCAAUCAAACCGGGAGAUAGCU
rnacentral:rRNA from 1 species